UGAUGCUGAUGGGGUUGCACAGCUACCCCUCGAGAGUGCUGAUGUCGGUUCUCGAUUCCUGCAAGUCGCUCGUUGUGGUUGUGCGUACGUGACACGGCGAACGUGCUGUCGAUAUCAGUGGCGUAGGACCGGGAAAUCCCCCCCCCCCUGGCUGCUUUCCGUGACAAAAUUUGUGGGUGUAUCGGCAAAAACGAGAAGGACGGUGCGGGAAAGAGCGAGUAGGGAGGGAGUCGCAGCACAUGCGCCAGCACCCGGCAUCGACCCGAUGUCUAGGCAACAGUACCCCACGUGCCGCGCACCAGCGCCACCUCGCGAUCGAACAUCCCUCUCCCCCUCCUCGUUCUGUGUUGCGUCUACUGACCCACGCCAACGGAGAGAGAAUUCCUUUUUCAGGACGAAGGUGGCCUGCACGGAAUGGUGCACACGGCUGGAAUUUCGAUACGGCGGAAAGCUGUGCCGAUAUCGCCCUGUUGAGCGCGCUCGAUCGAAUUUUCCCGCCGGGAAGCGUCGCUUUCACCGAUUUCACUUAAUCGUCGUUAAACAGAAUUGAUGAAAAAUCACUUUGUUAACCGAAUUAAGAUAGCCGAAGAAUUUACGCGUACAGCAACUCGUCCUGAUACGAGUAUGAUAACGGACUAAGUGCUGCGUAAUACACGCCUCGUGGUGGCCACUUGUGUUUGUACGAUCGAAACCACGAUUCGACAGAUGUUUCCCUCUCGGUCGGUAGAUUUAAUGGAGCGUUGCGGAAAAAGUUGCGAAUGGAAAAGUGAUAGAUGUGCGUGACUAUAAUCGCAUGGUGAUGGAGAGGAAAUUUAUUAUUUUUAAAGUAGAAGAUACAGUAGACGUUGGAAAUGAUUUUAGUGAGCCAUUAGCCAUUUUUCUCCCGUUUCGACACUUCUAGCUCAACGUUACAUGAAAAUGGAACGAAUGAUAAUUAUAAAGAAAUGUUUAAUUCGCUGUUUCUUUUUUGUAUUAUAUUAUCCCAUAUCACGUAUAUAACUAUGUAACGAGGUCGAAU